GUGUCAGCCGCCGCGGUAACACGUAGGGGGCGAGCGUUGUCCGGAUUUAUUGGGCGUAAAGAGCUCGUAGGCGGCUCGGUAAGUCGGGUGUGAAACCUCCAGGCUCAACCUGGAGACGCCACCCGAUACUGCCGUGGCUAGAGUCCGGUAGAGGAGCGUAGAAUUCCUGGUGUAGCGGUGAAAUGCGCAGAUAUCAGGAGGAAUACCAGCGGCGAAGGCGGCGCUCUGGGCCGGUACUGACGCUGAGGAGCGAAAGCGUGGGGAGCAAACAGGAUUAGAUACCCCCGUAGUCC
rnacentral:rRNA from 1 species